GUGAACGCUGGCGGUAGGCCUAACACCUGCAAGUCGCACGGCAGCACAGUAAGAGCUUGCUCUUACGGGUGGCGAGUGGCGGACGGGUGAGGAAUACAUCGGAAUCUACUUUUUCGUGGGGGAUAACGUAGGGAAACUUACGCUAAUACCGCAUACGACCUACGGGUGAAAGCAGGGGAUCUUCGGACCUUGCGCGAUUGAAUGAGCCGAUGUCGGAUUAGCUAGUUGGCGGGGUAAGGGCCCACCAAGGCGACGAUCCGUAGCUGGUCUGAGAGGAUGAUCAGCCACACUGGAACUGAGACACGGUCCAGACUCCUACGGGAGGCAGCAGUGGGGAAUAUUGGACAAUGGGCGCAAGCCUGAUCCAGCCAUACCGCGUGGGUGAAGAAGGCCUUCGGGUUGUAAAGCCCUUUUGUUGGGAAAGAAAAGCAGCAGGUUAAUACCCCGCUGUUCUGACGGUACCCAAAGAAUAAGCACCGGCUAACUUCGUG
rnacentral:rRNA from 1 species